CAUUUUUCUUAAUGUACGUGGAAAAGAUGAGUUUUUAAAAAAAUUCGUCUCCUUUAACAUAUUUUCUGGUUUCUGUAUGUUUUGCCCAUGACAGAAGCAAUAUUUAACUUUCUAAGCAGAUAUCUACUUAAUCACAAGCAGAAUCACCACGCAGGAAUUCGCCUGUGUGCUCAUUCCUGUCUGUCCUGCAAUCGCACGCUGUUGUGCAGUGAAUCCACGUACCAAAGCAGAUUGCGUGUGAUUGAACCUGUCUUUAAUUUUAUCCCUUGGCAGUUUCCUUGCUGGUUUCCUGAAGUCCUUCCCCAACUCCCUGGCACCUGGGGUGAGGAUGGCGGAGCCCUGCGCGUCUGUCUAAAGGCCCCAGGGGUGCUGAGGCCUGCACAGCCGGGGACUCUGGUUGCUGUGGGUUCCUCUGCAGGCUGCUCUCUGCCUGCAGGUGGCAGCAUUUCACUUUCUAAUCCUUGUCUCCCUUAGGGACUUGACUUUCAGAAGAAUGGCACAGACUUUCUUUUCAAAAGAAUGAAUAGAAUUCAUAGACGGCCCCCGUAAACACCCUCCACAACUCUGGUUUGCUUUCUUUGGGUGAGCUCGCUUGGAAACCACUGUGAGACUACGGGGCUCAGUCCGACAUGUUGGUCAUGGACACACUGGGGCAAGGUCUCGUUCCAGAGUGCUGGAGAGGACAACAUGGACACACUCGUAGAAGGCGGCUGGAGUGAUGGAGGACAUACUGUGAGCCUUCUCUGCCCCUUCACUCCCAGAGUCCCUCACUGCGGUGUUUCAGGUGUAUUGGAUUUCCACCACUGCACAAACAUUACCACAACACUGGCGCAAGGCCCCCAGUGCUCCUUGCACCUUCCCCUCGUGAGGUUACAGUGAGAAGACAGCGGUAUGAACCAGGAAGCAGCCUCACACACGGGGGCUGCUUUGAUCAGGGACUUCCUGGCUUCCAGAACUACCAGGGACAACUGGCAGAAACCCAGCGCUUUCUCCUGCUUUCUCCUGUGCCACUGUUGCUCUCUCCUCUAAAAGGCAGAUUUUCCUCCCAUCAGCUCCUGAAGAGUAGUCACAAAGUGGAGGGUGCGCAGCUCAGUUUAGGCACCUGCACACCUCACCCUGCCAGAGGAAUGAGCCAUGUAGCCCUGUAAUUACAGCUGCACCAGGACCAGAAGAAUCACUUAGCAGGCAAAAACAAAACCAAACAACAAAAAACAGAAACAAAAACACUGUGAUUUCAAUGUGUGCCAUGCUUGAAGACAAACAGCACCUUUACGUGGGGCCUGAGAGGUCCUUUAAGGUCUUUAACACGACGAGGAAACUGAGACCGAGCAUCUGGGGAGAACUUGUCCAGGUUUCACUGCAGGAGGAGCUUUACAGGUGAGGCCAGCCAUGUCAGGAUGGUGCAGACGAUGCCGAGCAGAUGAGCUGCUUUUCUGCAGAUGAGGGCUCUGGCUCAUCUCUGAGGUCAUCCUGCAGAAGUGGCUCCUGUGGUCCAGCCACAGGCGGCAGGAAUUUUCAUGCCAUCCCGGACCCUAGUGAAGGUAGAGAAUCCUCCAGAGAAGCCACAGCUGCUCCUCUUACAGGCUGGCUCCGGGUACCAGCUGUGUGACAGCUCCUGCUCCACGGUGCUGCCACCCAGGCCUAGAGGGAGCCAGGGCUCCUGGAGGUGGAGGCACAGGCAUGGCAGCCCUCCCAGCCCAGGGUGUGCUGCCCAAGCCACCUCCAGACCUCCCCUGCUGCGGGUGGGGGUGGG
ensembl:lncRNA